AAGUCAGAUGUGAAAGCCCAGGGCUCCUUUUUGGAACUGCAUUUGAUACUGGCAAACUAGAGUAUGGUCCAUUAAUGGGGAAUUUCUGGUGUAGCGGUGAAAUGCGUAGAGAUCAGAAGGAACACCAAUGGCGAAGGCAACAUUCUGGACCAAUACUGACACUGAGGGACGAAAGCGUGGGGAUCAAACAGGAUUAGAUACCCUGGUAGUCCACGCUGUAAACGAUGAGUACUAGCUGUUGGAUUCGGUGUAAAGGAUCUAGUGGCGUAGCUAACGCGUUAAGUACUCCGCCUGGGGACUACGGCCGCAAGGCUAAAACUCAAAGGAAUUGACGGGGACCCGCACAAGCGGUGGAGCAUGUGGUUUAAUUCGAUGCAACGCGAAGAACCUUACCUGGUCUUGACAUCCUGCGAACUUUCUAGAGAUAGAUUGGUGCCUUCGGGAACGCAGUGACAGGUGCUGCACGGCUGUCGUCAGCUCGUGUUGUGAAAUGUUGGGUUAAGUCCCGCAACGAGCGCAACCCCUAUUGAUAGUUACCAUCAUUAAGUUGGGUACUCUAUUGAGACUGCCGCUGACAAGGCGGAGGAAGGUGGGGACGACGUCAAGUCAUCAUGGCCCUUACGACCAGGGCUACACACGUGCUACAAUGGGUAUUACAGAGGGCAGCGAAGUAGCGAUAUGGAGCGAAACUCAGAAAGGUACUCUUAGUCCGGAUUGCAGUCUGCAACUCGACUGCAUGAAGUCGGAAUCGCUAGUAAUCGCAGGUCAGAAUACUGCGGUGAAUACGUUCCCGGGUCUUGUACAC
rnacentral:rRNA from 1 species